rnacentral:rRNA from 1 species
AGGUCGAGCGGACCGACGGGAGCUUGCUCCCUUAGGUCAGCGGCGGACGGGUGAGUAACACGUGGGUAACCUGCCUGUAAGACUGGGAUAACUCCGGGAAACCGGGGCUAAUACCGGAUGCUUGAUUGAACCGCAUGGUUCAAUCAUAAAAGGUGGCUUUUAGCUACCACUUGCAGAUGGACCCGCGGCGCAUUAGCUAGUUGGUGAGGUAACGGCUCACCAAGGCGACGAUGCGUAGCCGACCUGAGAGGGUGAUCGGCCACACUGGGACUGAGACACGGCCCAGACUCCUACGGGAGGCAGCAGUAGGGAAUCUUCCGCAAUGGACGAAAGUCUGACGGAGCAACGCCGCGUGAGUGAUGAAGGUUUUCGGAUCGUAAAACUCUGUUGUUAGGGAAGAACAAGUACCGUUCGAAUAGGGCGGUACCUUGACGGUACCUAACCAGAAAGCCACGGCUAACUACGUGCCAGCAGCCGCGGUAAUACGUAGGUGGCAAGCGUUGUCCGGAAUUAUUGGGCGUAAAGCGCGCGCAGGCGGUUUCUUAAGUCUGAUGUGAAAGCCCCCGGCUCAACCGGGGAGGGUCAUUGGAAACUGGGGAACUUGAGUGCAGAAGAGGAGAGUGGAAUUCCACGUGUAGCGGUGAAAUGCGUAGAGAUGUGGAGGAACACCAGUGGCGAAGGCGACUCUCUGGUCUGUAACUGACGCUGAGGCGCGAAAGCGUGGGGAGCGAACAGGAUUAGAUACCCUGGUAGUCCACGCCGUAAACGAUGAGUGCUAAGUGUUAGAGGGUUUCCGCCCUUUAGUUGCUGCAGCAAACGCAUUAAGCACUUCGCC